rnacentral:rRNA from 1 species
GGAGUUCUGAGUAAGGGCGUGCGGUGGAUGCCUUGACUCUAAAAGGCGAUGAAGGACGCGGCUUAGCUGCGAUACGCUUCGGGGAGGUGCUAUGCAACCUGCGAUCCGAAGAUUUCCGAAUGGGGAAACCCCAUCGAGUAACCCUCGAUGACUCUCUACUUAAACGAUAGGGAGGGCA